ACUGGAAAGGAAGAAAUGACCGAGGGAGAAGGGAGGGCAUUUGAGGGGAGAAGAAGAGGAUGGAGAAAAAAACUGGAUCAUCUCGUGACAUGGAAAGAAAGGUAUUUUUCCCUCUCCACCCUGGUCUUCUCCUGUAACGUGUGGCCGCCUUUUCCAGCACGGCCUCCUGCCUUCCUGGUGCACUUUUUGGAGAACGUGGUGGAAUCAGAGGUUUCUGGCUGACUCGGUGG
ensembl:lncRNA LINC00511 long intergenic non-protein coding RNA 511